UUUGGUGAACCUUGUCAAAGCUAAGUACUGUAGUUUGCAACCUUGGGCACCUUCUUACUCCAACUUGCAAUGGCCAUGUAGGUGUCUUAUAUUGCCCUUUGACCUAGUCUUGGAUUCCUUGGCUCGGAUGGAACCAUUGGAUGAGCUGUGUAGGGAAUGGAAACUUAUCCAUCAUUGGUGCUCCCUAAAGCCAAGCAGCAGAAAGAGGAAGCAUGAUUGUUGUACGAAGAUCUUCUUGUGAUGUAGUUUUAAAAUUAUUGAGAGUAACCCCCAUAUAUUAUAUCAUCAAACACAUGUUUCUUUGAGGCUACGCAAACUUUGCUAAUAUAGCAAUGCAUAACCUAUCUUAUUUUAUGUGGAAGAUUAAUAUAUACAUCAUUCUUUGCC
rnacentral:lncRNA from 1 species